CGGCCAGACUCCUACGGGAGGCAGCAGUGGGGGAUAUUGCACAAUGGGGGAAACCCUGAUGCAGCGACGCCGCGUGAGUGAAGAAGUAUUUCGGUAUGUAAAGCUCUAUCAGCAGGGAAGAAGAAAGACGGUACCUGAGUAAGAAGCCCCGGCUAACUACGUGCCAGCAGCCGCGGUAAUACGUAGGGGGCAAGCGUUAUCCGGAUUUACUGGGUGUAAAGGGAGCGUAGACGGUCCUGCAAGCCAGAUGUGAAAGCCCGGGGCUCAACCCCGGGACUGCAUUUGGAACUGUAAGGCUAGAGUGUCGGAGAGGCAGGCGGAAUUCCUAGUGUAGCGGUGAAAUGCGUAGAUAUUAGGAGGAACACCAGUGGCGAAGGCGGCCUGCUGGACGAUGACUGACGUUGAGGCUCGAAAGCGUGGGGAGCGAACAGGAUUAGAUACCCUUGUAACC
rnacentral:rRNA from 1 species